rnacentral:lncRNA from 1 species
GCUGGCUCUACCCUCGGAUGGCAAAAGUACGUCGGGUCCAAGGGCAAGACCAUCGGCAUCGACAAGUUCGGCGCCAGCGCUCCUGCCCCCAAGAUCUACAAGGAGUACGGCAUCACUGCAGAGAACGUCAUCGCCGCAGCCAAGAGCCUGUAAGACCAGCACACUCGUUCAGGUUCUGUCAUCAUUGGUGCCAGAGAACUACACCACACUUGUGAAGGUCUCGUGCCCAGAAAGCUUGGAAUAACGGAGGGAGAGGAGGAUGCCUGCGUCGGAGCGUGAGUGGUAUUUCUAGGCCUGUAAUAAACAAUGCCUUUUCCAUUUGCGUUGUCUUACAUUCGAUACAUAUCGCCCCCCUUAGAUGAUUCGUGGAGGGGGUGAGCCUGAUCAAAUUGGGGACUGGUUUUUGUUUAUUGUUCUACAUUGAACUGAUACUCGUGCUUGCGAUGUUUUCUUUCCUUUCUUCCCCCGUGAUCAUCAUCUCCAUGGGUUCUGCGCCCUUGUAGUUUGCUGUUUGCUCCUCUUCCCCUU